rnacentral:rRNA from 1 species
GACGAACGCUGGCGGCGUGCCUAAUACAUGCAAGUCGAGCGGAUCUGUUCCUUCGGGGACAGGUUAGCGGCGGACGGGUGAGUAACACGUAGGCAACCUGCCGAUAAGACUGGGAUAACCUCCGGAAACGGAAGCUAAGACCGGAUACGUUGAUUCUUCGCAUGGGGGAUCAUGGAAAGACGGAGCAAUCUGUCACUUAUCGAUGGGCCUGCGGCGCAUUAGCUAGUAGGUGAGGUAACGGCUCACCUAGGCGACGAUGCGUAGCCGACCUGGGAGGGUGAACGGCCACACUGGGACUGAGACACGGCCCAGACUCCUACGGGAGGCAGCAGUAGGGAAUCUUCGGCAAUGGACGCAAGUCUGACCGAGCAACGCCGCGUGAGUGAAGAAGGGUUUCGGCUCGUAAAACUCUGUUGCCAAGGAAGAUCGCUGAUUGGAGUAACUGCCAGUUAGGUGACGGUACUUGAGAAGAAAGCCCCGGCUAACUACGUGCCAGCAGCCGCCGUAAUAC